rnacentral:rRNA from 1 species
GACGAACGCUGGCGGCUUGCCUAAUACAUGCAAGUCGAGCGGAUGGAAGGAAGCUUGCUUCCUAAAGUCAGCGGCGGACGGGUGAGUAACACGUGGGCAACCUGCCCCUAAGAUCGGGAUAACUUCGGGAAACCGGAGCUAAUACCGGAUAUGAUUAUGUCUCACAUGAGACAUAAUGGAAAGACGGUUUCGGCUGUCACUUAGGGAUGGGCCCGCGGCGCAUUAGCUAGUUGGUGAGGUAACGGCUCACCAAGGCGACGAUGCGUAGCCGACCUGGGAGGGUGGUCGGCCACACUGGGACUGAGACACGGCCCAGACUCCUACGGGAGGCAGCAGUAGGGAAUCUUCGGCAAUGGGCGAAAGCCUGACCGAGCAACGCCGCGUGAGCGAUGAAGGUCUUCGGGUCGUAAAGCUCUGUUGUUAAGGAAGAACAAGUACGAGAGUAACUGCUCGUACCUUGACGGUACUUAACGAGAAAGCCACGGCUAACUACGUGCCAGCAGCCGCCGUAACAC